GGGUGAUCAAUAAGUCUACUAACUCGGGUCCAAACAUUAUUUUUUUCAAAUUGAUUAAGUUUCUCUUGCAUAGCAAUCAUCCAGUUAAAAUCAAUUUUAGCCUCUUCUAUACUUUUAAGUUCAAUUUGUGAGACAAAAGUAAGGUAAUCAAAAGUAUCUUUGAAUAAAGCUCUAGUUCUUAUCCCUUAUGAAGGAUCACCAAUUAUAAGAUCUUUUGGAUGGUUAUAUACAUAUC
rnacentral:lncRNA from 1 species